UACGUAGGUGGCAAGCGUUGUCCGGAAUUAUUGGGCGUAAAGCGCGCGUAGGCGGGAUGGAAAGUCUGUUGUGAAAUUGCGGGGCUCAACCCCGUAUUGGCAAUGGAAACUUUCAUUCUUGAGUGCAGGAGAGGAAAGUGGAAUUCCCAGUGUAGCGGUGAAAUGCGUAGAUAUUGGGAGGAACACCAGUGGCGAAGGCGACUUUCUGGACUGUGUCUGACGCUGAGGUGCGAAAGCUAGGGGAGCGAAC
rnacentral:rRNA from 1 species